CCCUUAGAUGCUCUGGGCUGCACGCGUGCUACACUGAUAUUGCCAAUAUGUCAUUCUUAUCCGAAAUGGAUUGGGUAAUCAAGUAAUGAAAUUUCAUGCUUGGAAUCGGUAAUUGCAAUUUUAUCGUGAACGAGGAAUUCCUAGUAAGCACUAGUCAUCAGCUAAUGUUGAUUAUGUCCCUGCCCUUUGUACACACCGCCCGUCGCUACUACUGAUUGGGUGUUCAAGUGAGAUGCUUAGACCCUUGUUGCAUGGUUCAUUAUUGUGCUCCGAAAGGAAAAAGUUUCAAGCUUGGGUGUCUAGAGGAAGUAAAAGUCGUAACA
rnacentral:rRNA from 1 species